CAAGAAUGGCUUUUGAUGACCACCUCAAAGCUCACAGUCUUUCCAGAGAGACCGUCACCCUCUCCCCAAGGGGGCAGCCUGAUGUUCCAGGAGGUGGCAGCCACUCGUCCAGGUCAGAAAGCGACUGCCAAGAACUCACUGGACCUUGGAAGUCAGCCAGCUGCCAAUCUGUCAGCUUGCAUCCGGAGGGCUGGAGAAGAAGCGCUGUGUUAACUGUGCAACUCUGUGCUGCUGUGCACGCUCGAAUCCCAUUGCUGCCACGUGAACUAGCUCAGGCUAGCCUGCUGGAGGAUGAAAAGCUGCCAUGUGAACUAGCUCAGGCUAGCCUGCUGGAGGGUGAAAGACCAUAGGGAGUGGAGCACAGUCAUUCCAGCCGAGGUCAUCCUGGACCAGUCUGCAGCCAGCUAACAGCCAAACAGAAGAGCCACCCAGCUGACCCGCAGCUGACCAAAGAUGCAUGAAUGAGCUCAACUGAGACCAGAUAAAGCACCCAACUGGGCCCAGCCUAAACUGCCACCCUUCAGAAUCAUGAGCUAAAUAAAUGCUUGUCAUUAUAAGCCACUGGGUCUUGGGGAUUGUUU
rnacentral:lncRNA from 10 species